GAUGAACGCUGGCGGCGUGCCUAAUACAUGCAAGUCGAGCGAACAGACGAGGAGCUUGCUCCUCUGACGUUAGCGGCGGACGGGUGAGUAACACGUGGAUAACCUACCUAUAAGACUGGGAUAACUUCGGGAAACCGGAGCUAAUACCGGAUAACAUGUUGAACCGCAUGGUUCAACAGUGAAAGACGGUCUUGCUGUCACUUAUAGAUGGAUCCGCGCCGCAUUAGCUAGUUGGUAAGGUAACGGCUUACCAAGGCAACGAUGCGUAGCCGACCUGAGAGGGUGAUCGGCCAAACUGGAACUGAGACACGGUCCAGACUCCUACGGGAGGCAGCAGUAGGGAAUCUUCCGCAAUGGGCGAAAUCCUGACGGAGCAACGCCGCGUGAGUGAAGAAGGUCUUCGGAUCGUAAAACUCUGUUAUUAGGGAAGAACAAAUGUGUAAGUAACUAUGCACGUCUUGACGGUACCUAAUCAGAAAGCCACGGCUAACUACGUG
rnacentral:rRNA from 1 species